rnacentral:lncRNA from 1 species
GCGGCGCUCGCGAAACCCGAAGACUUGCAGGUAGCCAGGCGCUCCCACUCGUCCAACAGCUCCCGGGCUGGCUUGGGAGAAACUAAGGAACUUGCUUCGCCCCCCCGCCGCUCCCUGGGGCCGCUCGCCACCCGCGGAACUUGCCAUCCCCGCUCUUCCCCACUUUCUACCCCCACCUCCGCCCGCCCCACCUUCCCCUUUCCCCGCUUUCCCCUCUCCCACCUCCUCCUUCUCUCCCCUCCCACAUCCCCGGUCUCCCACUUCCCCCUCCUUCCCGACCCACCUCUCCCUCCUCCCCGCCCCACCUCUCCCUCCUCCCCGCCCCACCUCUCCCUCCUCCCCUUCCUCCUCCUCCCCCCCGCUCCUCUCCUUACCACCUCCUCCGCCCUCCCCCACCUCCUCCCCGGUCCCUUCUCCACCCCCUCUUUCCCCACUCCGCUCCCCGGGCGGCGGGCGGCUCCCUGGCUCCGGCGUGUACAGAUUUGGGCAGAAUGUGGUUCCAAGGCUCUCGGUCAAGAAUUCGGAGGAGGAAAGUUUGCUGGCGGCGCCGCGGCUCACACCACUCCCCGCCCUGGGGGCGGUCCUCGAGGCCGGGCCCCGCCGCCCGUGCUUCCCUUCCCGGAGCCUUCGCUCUUCCCCGGGAAGGCCCGGCCUUACAUAAGGGCCCGUGCGCCCGCCCCAGCCCUGUGGGCAGCGCGCUCUUGCUCUGCUCAGUUUAACGAAGAUUCUGCUCCUGAAACUUAGUACAGAUAAAAAGGGCAGCGGUCCGUUUCAUUUUAGACAGGAAAAUGAGGGCGCAAAAGGGGACUGAGGGAGAGAGGCCAGAGAACAAGACAGCAGGUUCGUGCUGGUGGCAGGUGGAUGGGUAGAAGGUUCCUUGAGAGCGGAAUUUCCUAUUUGGAUGCCUGUGCAGAGGGAAGUGGCUGUAAAGAUCAAGUAGCUUUGAUAACGCCAAGGUAGCCUGGACAACAGAAGCCCAGGGAAGGAAAGGGGGCGGGACUUAUGCUGCCAGAAAGGAUGAUCACUAUCCGGAUCUUCAGUAGGACCCGCGCCUCAGCGAGGGCGCGUGUAGAGGAGAUGUGGGUAUGGGCCAUGUGCAGGGAGCAUAAUGCCUGCGUCUCCAGCGCAGGCCUGGCAUACAACAGGCACACCAUAAACAGCUAACACGUGGGCACUGUGCUAAAACUUUGCCAACUUGGUUGCAUUUAAUCCUUAGAACAAUUGAGCCCUCCUUACUCCCAUUUUACACACGGGAGACUGAGACCUGGAUGGGCUAAGUGACUUGGCCAUGACCACACAGCUCUUUGCAGCCGACCGAGGACUCAAACCUUGGACUCCAAAACUCAUGCUAUGGGACAACUUCGUAUUUGGGAGGCGUAAUACAAAAGGGUUCAGCUUUGGGGCAGAGUGAAGGGGCACCGCGUUUCGAAGAUGGGCAGGUAGGCUUGCAGCAGGUGGAUAUGUAUGUUCCCACAGUUCUCUCACACUCACAUUUCACCAUGGACACAGCAGAGCUUUACCCCUCAGGACGUUACUGAGGCGGUUCAUUAGCCCGAGUUUCUGAAUUCCUCUACUUCCUCCACAGUGGGUACUUGAGGAGCUGUUGUCUCUGGUUAACCCAAGUCUCCUUGUGGCUCUUUAGGGAAAUUCCCUGUGCCCAAGACUGGUAUCCAUGUGCAGAGUUACUGGACUAUCCAACGGGAUUAAAAACAAUUCCCCAAAUUCCCAUUCUUCUGGGAAUUCGUGGGAUUCCUGGCCCACACAAUAUUUUAUAAGGGGCCUAACCUGGAGCCUAAGGAUGUGGGUGUGCAGGAGUAAUGAUGAUGGGACAUUCUUAGUCUAGCGUGAAUGUGUGUCCCUUUGCUGCUUCUCCCCAGCAACUAUGAAACACCUGAUACUGUUAGGCCCCUCCGAUAGUUUCUUUUUAAACGGUUUUGAGAUCCCACUAAGGAUGUUUUUUUUUGCUUCAGUUGCUAUUUUUACUACCGCUUAACAUCCACACACUCAUACGAACCCAGAAGACACCCUAAUCCCCCCCAAAAGUGAGAGAAAGAUUUGACAUCCCAGCCUGCUAAGGAAGUCAGUGGGAAGCCUGGUUUUCAAAUCAAAUGUCUACACAUGUUCCAAUAGAGUACAGAGAAAAUCGGUGUUUAAGAGCCCAUGUGGUGGGAUAAUACCUUAGGGUGCUAUCUGAUAGUUCAUUUAUUUCUAAACCUAGUGUAGCUGCCAUAUUGAUAAUUAAAUAUCCCAUAGGAGCUCUAGGAGGGUCUCCUCGUGUUAUCCCUUCUCCUUUUUUUUUAGGGUAAGAACUGAAGCCACCAAAAGGCUUACUAUACCACACAACACCCAAGCCUUCCUUUGGGGCAUGGGGACAGUGGAUCUAUGGCUCCUCAGGGUGCCAACCAAUUGAAGAAGGAAGCCAGCUCCACUCAACAGCUUCUACAAAGGAAGGGCCACAGGAGAGGGGCUUCAGUGGUUCCAGGCAGCUGCUUCAUUCACAACAGAAUGGCCAUUUUCUCCAGCAUGGCCAACUAUCCCUAGUCUUUUUGUCAUGACAGCCUAGAAGGCAGAAGCUAGGGCCAAGGCGGCUGCUAAGGAAUUCCUACUCCUACUGGGGCCUAAUGUCAGGCUUUCCUUAUAUUGUGGAGUGGGCCCUGGAAGAUAGUUAGAGACCCUUCCUGCUGGGCACCCUGAAGAGGAGCAAGAGGAUCUGGUGAGCAAAAUGAAGCAAAAGUGCAGUGCUGGAGCUGACAGCCCUGUUCCCUACUGCACGCAGUUGGCUCAGGGCUGUCCCCCACUUUGGAGCUUCUUGCCACUCACGGGCUACCCUGCACACACUACUUACUGCCCAGGCCUGUCUGCCACCACAGUACCCUGUGCCUGAGACCUUUCCUGGCCUCUGCUGGAUCCCAGGCCUAGUAUCAUUCCUAGGGACUCCAGAGGCAAGUCCAGGCUAAUAUGCUCUGGGAAAACAAUGUACAAUGUACAUGUUUGCCUUUUGACGUAGAUAAAUGAUACCUGGAUCCCAGGUCUGGCUCUGGGGCAGGGGAGCUUCAGGCCUGGCUAUGGCAGAACACUGAAGGAGGUACUUUGGGUUUUCACAACCUCUUAAAUCAUCUCAGAGAGAGAGUGAACAACUUACUUUCACAUGCACAAGCUGCCGCUGGCUCUGUCACAAGAAGAUGGACUACAAGUAAUAAAAUCAAGAUGAAGUUCUGUGUACAUCUUUCCAGCUUACAAGAAUUGUAGAAAGUUGAAGAUGAAAGGGAUAUUAAAGAGCAUCUCAUUCUACCUCCUCAUUUUGCAGCUGUAAGAACCGAGGCCCAGGGAGGGGGACUGGGGAAGCCACCAUCACACAGCUGCUCCGUGGCAGGAGUUGUGCUAACUUUCUGUGGCUGUUGCCAUUACACCCAGCAUCUUUUGACUUUUGAAAACAGCGAAGGAGAAAUCAGUCCUCCCAGCAUCUUCACCUCCCACGACGUUUAUUGUUUCCAGCUGUUAAAAAUUGGCCCUUUAAAAAUGGGUCGUCUUGCCAGUCAUUGAGGGUCACCGCGGUGGGGAGUGCUGAUUUAGAGGGCGGCAGAACAGGGAGGUGAUUGGAGGCAUAAUUGCCAGUCUCCUCCUUGGCACCUGGGGAUUUCUGUCAUUCAAGUCUCAGGGUGUGUGCCCUCAGCAAAUACUAACCCACAGAGUCAAUUGCUAACUGCAGUCAUCUGUGCAUUUGCCCUCUGGGGAUGGAAAGCCAUAAGAAAUGCCAUUUCCUAAUCUAGUUGGCCUUGGAUGAGAAGAUGUUUUUGCCUAAUGGAAGCCUUUGGAGAGUGAAUAAUGUGAAUAAUGUGUAUUUAGGACCUACAGUGCUCCCCAGGAUGCUGUAAGGGACCUGGUUAUAAAGAAAAAAACCUCACUGAUGGUCUUGGCUUUGUCCUUGUCUGAGUUAAGUCCUUUUGGUUGGAAGUAAUCAACUUGAGCUGACGUAAGCAUUAAGGGACAUAGAAGAGUAUAGCAGUAUCUCAUGAAGUCCAAGGGCAGAUGGCCUCAAGGUAGCCCGAGAAGCUGCUAGGAACCUAGACAGUCCACCUUCUCCAGCUUUCUUCUCUGCUUCGUGUCUCCCUCUGCAAUCCACUUUCUUCUCUGUGAGUAGCUGGGCAGAGGAUAAUCCCUCAACAACUAUCACAUCUACAUCUUCUCUCCUAAAGAGAUUAGCCAAAGGUGAGUGGCUGUCCUCAGUCCAAUACCAGAUUCCUGGGAGAGGGAAUUUGGUUGUCCCAGCCUGGGUCAGGUGCACAGCUUGAUCCAAUCAGGUGUGCCCAGGAGAGGGUGCCCUGAGACAGGCACAUCUGGGGACACUCAUCCUCAUGAAUGACCGGACAGUUCUCCAGGAAAGAAGAGAGAAGAGUGGAGGUCAGACAUUUCAAAUGUAUAUUAUAGGCAUCAAAUUAGUUACUGAUACAGAAAAAUGGCAAUGUCUAAGUAGGGGGCUUGAGAAACAGUUCAAACACUGUAUAGAUUUUGAUUAUUUGCUUAACUUCCAGGAUGAUAAAUUGUCUAUUAUGGAGCUGUAUUUUUUUUUUGGAGACAGAGUCUUGCUGUUUGGCUGGAGUGCAGUGGCGUGAUCUCGGCUCACCACAACCUCCACCUCCAGGUUCAAGCAAUUCUCCUGCCUCAGCCUCCCGAGUAGCUGGGAUUACAGGUGCCCACCACCAGCCCUGGCUAAUUUUUGUAUUUUUAGUAGAAACGGGGUUUCACCAUGUUGGCCAGGCUGGUCUAGAACUCCUGACCUCAAGUGAUCCGCCCUUCUCGGCCUCCCAAAGUGCCAGGAUUACAGGCGUGAGCCACCAUGCCCAGGUGGAGCUGAAUUUUUUUUUUUUUUUUUGAGGUGGGAGGAUGGAGUCUCGCUUUUUCGCCCAGGCUGGAGUGCAAUGGCACGAUCUUGGCUCACUGCAACCUCCGCCUCCCAGGUCCAAGCAAUUCUUCUGCCUCAGCCUCCCCAGUAGCUGGGAUUACAGGCAUGUGCCACCACACCCGGGUAAUUUUUGUAUUUUUAGUAGAGACAAGGUUUCACCAUGUUGGCCAGGCUGGUCUCGAACUCCUGACCUCAAGUGAUCCACCCAUCGCAGCCUCCCAAAGUGCUAGGAUUACAGGCAUGAGCCACCGCGCCCAGCCAAUCUUUUUAUAUAGUAGAUUUCUUGCAAUGUAACCCCUAUCCUCUGGGCUUUGUGUAAAAAGUGCAUUCAGACAAUCUGAGGAGUGUCUUAAUUUUUUGUGUGACUAUCAUAUAUAUUUUCAUCCUGUUGAGGUGUGUUUGCUAGGUGGAUAUUGAACAUGAAAUCAAAGUAUAAUUUUAAACUUGUGUUGAAAUAUAUGUGUAUAAGCAUAUGUGCACAAUUACCUAUAUUGUCAAACACCCAACCUGCUUUCCAAAGGAUUUGAAGCAAGGUCUAAUAAAAACACAGAAAAAGUAUGGCCAAGAGCUGUAAACACCAAAAAAAGAAGUAAAGGGCAAGUCGCAAACAGACUGCAGUUGAGCAAAGCUGCAAAGGACUAUAAUACCAGGCCUGAAGUGGUUGCUAAAUGUAGCUCUGAGCUUUCUGACAUUCAAAGCCAAAAAUAGGUAUAUUUUAUUAUUUAAACAGUGUCUACUCUGAGGUCCUCAAAACUCUUUCAGGGGGCCCACAGAUCAAAACUAUUUUCAUAAUAACACCAAGACAUUGUUUGCAUCUUUCAUUGUCAUUCUCUUAGGAGUGUACAGUGGAGUUUUCCAGAAGGCAUAUGCCAUGUGCAUCACCACAGCUUAAAUGCAGAAACAGACAUGAGGAUCUAGCUGUGUCCUACUAAGCCAGACAUUCAGGACAUCUAAAAGUGUAAAACAAUGCCACUCUUCUCACUAACUUUUUUGUUUUGGAAAAUAUAUCUUUCAUAAAAUAUUGAUUAUGUUGAUAUAUUACGGGUUUGUUGUUAUUAUUUUAAAUGAAUUAAUAAAUAAUUUUCUGAUUUAAUUUCUAUUACUGUAAAUAUUGAUGGAUAUAUCCU